rnacentral:lncRNA from 1 species
AUUUUCUAAUGACAAUAUAUUUCUGUCUCUCAGAGAGUGGUCAGACACUGGAAUGGCUGCCCAGGGAGGUGGUGGAGUUGCCGUUCCUAGCAGUGUUCAAGAGGCGUCUGGAUGAGGAGCUACGAGAUAUGGUUUAGAUGCUUGUAGUACCAAUGGUAAUGGGAGGACGGUUGGACUAGAUGAUCUUGAAGGUUGUUUCCAAUCUUGCGAAUCUGUGAUUCUAUGAUUCUGAUAUUAUUUUGAUCUAGUUUUUUUUUUUUUUUUAAGAAAGGAAAUGCUGCUGCACCUGCCUGUCCAUAUGCUUGACACAGUCAGGUCUUCAUCCAGCUUGCCUAGUUUUAAACAAGUGUGGCAGAGACUCCUGACACCACAGACUGGUAGCCUGGUCAUGUACUGCUCUCAAAGUUUUCAAGCAGAAGAGGGAUGGACUUGGCAUCUUCAGCUCAGCAGCAGUACUAGAGCCCUACAGGAAAUAUUUCAGUGAAACUUGAGGAGGGGACCUUGAGAAGAGCUUUACAUUCUCUGAGCUCCACAGUGAAAAAAUCUGCGAUGGGACCAUGGAUGAAGAAAUAUAGAGGGUGAGUCAAUUAGAGAAUCAUCUGUGCCAUGUGAUGCGGGAAGUUCUGUGGCUGGUAUAAAUACUACAAUUUUCCCAUAAAUAGAAGUGAGGAAAUUGUUGCUCUAAAACUUGAAUGUGUAGCUAAUUUGAGCGUGAUCUCAUAGAGGGUUUUUAAGGAGAUCCUUUUUGUUAUUAUUUGGUGAUUAAGCAUAGCUCAUGCAUCUGAACUUCUUUGUCUAUUCACUCUGCUUUAAGCAUAGCAGCAGACAGAUGCCCUUACAAUUCACUCCAGAAGAUUCAAGAACAGAUUUC